rnacentral:tRNA from 1 species
GGGCCCGUAGCUCAGAGGUUAGAGCGGCCGGCUCAUAACCGGUUGGCCGCAGGUUCGAAUCCUGCCGGGCCCA